rnacentral:lncRNA from 1 species
CGUUCUUUAGAAUGCAGUUUGCCAUUAUAAAGCGUUGCCGCAAAUUACCAUACGAAACAGCAAAACUGUUCCUUCCUUUUUCUCCCAGAGCAGUAGUCUAUAGGCCGCAAAAGUAUUCCUUUGGUGUUAAAAUAAAUAAAAUGCGAAUGUGGGAAAGUUUUAACUGUUUCUAAUUAGAAAAUUUAUUGCAUCUCUGCAUAAUUUAGCAUUAAUUAACAGGUGAGCUCGACAUUAUUAAUUUUUAACAUCUUAAAAGUAUGUAAGACCAGAGACAAAUUAGCUUAUCAUUGAUACAUGAUAUAUUAUACCUGC